rnacentral:lncRNA from 1 species
GGUGGAGAUGGUUGUUAGUAGGGAUAAAUUGUAGCGGUAGUAGUGGUUGAAGUGAUAGUAAAGGUUGCAUUACUAGUGACAAUGGUGGUAGUGGUCGAAGAAUGUGUGAAGGUUGUGAUGUAUUAGUGGUAGUUAGCGGUGGUGCUAGUUGUGAUAGAUGAGUUGAUCGAUAGUAGGCAUUGGCCGGUAGUAGUUGAUGAUGGUAGUGUUGUCAACGGCGG